rnacentral:lncRNA from 12 species
AAAAAGUGCAGAGUUCUCCUCACUCCUCAGUAUUGCUGCUGUCCCACUUUGAGCCUGCCCUAAACUUUGACACCUGACACUACAAUGUUCGCAUUUUUUACUCCUGCUUUGCAAUGCUUUUAGUUUUCCAUGUUUUCCAAUGCUGUUCCUCCAUGUAAGCCUGUUUUCUCAGUAAGCAAGUGCCAGUGAUAAGCCAGCUACAGAUUUGGUAUUGCAAAAUGUAAAAAGGAAAGAAUCCUUAAAACUGGCUUUUUCUUCUGGGAUCUGUACUAAUUCAUGGCUGAGAGCCCGGCAUAAGGCAACACUGUGAAUCACUGGCAGAGAUCUGCUGGAACUCAGGCGUUUAGGAUUCCUGUUCCCACGGUCUCCCACUCAAUCUGUGUUUCCCAACAUUCUCCCAUGCCUGAUGCCUUC